rnacentral:sRNA from 1 species
GGGAUAGAAGCGGUAUCUGCCUGAUCCGAUGGCAAUCGGAUCAGCGGAUAAGAGCGGAUAGCCCGACCCCGC